AGCGAACGCUGGCGGCAGGCCUAACACAUGCAAGUCGAGCGGCCGUAGCAAUACGGCAGCGGCAGACGGGAGAGUAACACGUGGGAACGUGCCCUUCGGUUCGGAAUAACUCGGGGAAACCCGAGCUAAUACCGGAUACGCCCUUACGGGGAAAGAUUUAUCGCCGAUGGAGCGGCCCGCGUCUGAUUAGCUAGUUGGUGAGGUAAUGGCUCACCAAGGCAACGAUCAGUAGCUGGUCUGAGAGGAUGAUCAGCCUCACUGGGACUGAGACACGGCCCAGACUCCUACGGGAGGCAGCAGUGGGGAAUAUUAGACAAUGGGGGCAACCCUGAUCUAGCCAUGCCGCGUGAGUGAUGAAGGCCUUAGGGUUGUAAAGCUCUUUCAGCUGGGAAGAUAAUGACGGUACCAGCAGAAGAAGCCCCGGCUAACUCCGUGCCAGCAGCCGCCGUAAAAC
rnacentral:rRNA from 1 species